AUGGUUGUUUACCAUAUUGUUUGCUUCUUUCCGGUGCUGCUUCUUCGGGUUGGUUCCGAUAACAUCGCGUUUGUGAGGAUUCGUUCGACUAUGCCCGGUUGUCUUCUUUAUGGACUCGUUCUUCUUCCUUGCGGGAUCUCAGGAAAGAUGACCAUACCCUCGAAAUCACUUCUAUCUUUGCUUGCUAGUUGUUUGCUCUAUUGCUAUGCCGCGAUACCUACCACUUGCUAUAUCAUGCCUCCCAUAUUGCCAUGUCAAGCCACUAACCCACCUUUCUUAGCAAACCGUUGCUUGGCUAUGUUACUACUUUUGCUCAGCCCCACUUAUAGCGUUGUUAGUUGCAGGUGA
rnacentral:rRNA from 1 species